rnacentral:rRNA from 1 species
CUGCGAAGUGGAGGCAAAUCCCUAAAAGACCAUCUCAGUUCGGAUUGCAGGCUGCAACUCGCCUGCAUGAAGCUGGAAUUGCUAGUAAUCGCGGAUCAGCAUGCCGCGGUGAAUACGUUCCCGGGCCUUGUACACACCGCCCGUCACACCAUGAGAGUCGGGAACACCCGAAGUCCGUAGUCUAACCCGCAAGGGAGGGCGCGGCCGAAGGUGGGUCCGGUAAUUGGGGUGAAGUCGUAACAAGGUAUC